UGCAAACUCCACACAGAAAGACCCCGGCCUGAUGGUGGAAUUGAACACAGGACCUUCUUGCUGUGUGGCAACAGUGCGAACCACCGCCCUGCCCAUUCAGGUUAAACGUGUCGAUAUCAGUAAAUAUCUGUAUCGGUCAUAUUGGCCAUUGGUAUUUAUUUGGUAUUGGAUCGAUUCAGACACUGGAUGAACUCUGGGCCUGCACCAAGGCCAAGAAGCAGAUCACUCUCAGGAUGCCGCUAGGAGCCGCUGCUAGCACCUUGGUGUCUGAUACGACAGGACACCUUCAGCGCUCUUGUGGAGUUUGUGCCUCACCGGGUCGAGGCGUUUAGGCAGGACGUGUUGGACCCACACUGUGUGAGGCAGGGAGUUUAAAAGCUCUGUUCUUAAUUGGAGUAUUGGAUGCUAACAUGCUCGCCUGCAUAUUUAUUAUUAAUAUAUGUGUUCAAAACAAAUCUGUGAACAUUUGAAAUCUCAGCUCAUGAAAAUUCAUGAGCAUUUUAAUAUAUCUGGUUUAAUCCUUUUUUGUAUGGAAUUUGUUGCUUAUUAAUCUAUUUAAAAGGAUUUCUCGUGACAUGUUAUUUGGUGCAACCAUUACCCACGUGGAGUGACCAGCUAUAGCAAUAACUGUAUUCAAAAUUGAAAAAGAAAAAUACUAUUUUAACACAUUUUUAAGUCGGUUUUAUGUAAUAUGCAUGAACUAAUUUAUCUGUAUAAAAAAAAUCACUUAAUUUGAAAUCUUAAAAUGUAUGAAUGUAUUAUAUGAAUAGAUAUUUAUUGUUAGUGUUUGAACAACACUUAUUUAUCGUUGUUGUUUUAAUACUGUAUCAGCUGUAACUUCAUGGUGUCUUUGUGUAUUAAA